CGGACGGGUGAGUAAUGUCUGGGAAACUAGCCUGAUGGAGGGGGGUAACUACUGGAAACGGUAGCUAAUACCGCAUAACGUCGCAAGACCAAAGAGGGGGACCUUAGGGCCUCUUGCCAUCGGAUGUGCCCAGAUGGGAUUAGCUAGUAGGUGGGGUAACGGCUCACCUAGGCGACGAUCCCUAGCUGGUCUGAGAGGAUGACCAGCCACACUGGAACUAAGACACGGUCCAG
rnacentral:rRNA from 1 species